CGCGUAGGUCGAUACCAUAAAAGACGUUGGGAAAUCUUUGACAGCGGGACGGUGGCCAUGGAGGUCGGAAUCCGCUAAAGGACUGUGCAAUAAUUUAGCUGCCGAAUCUACUAACCCUGAGACUGGAUGGCGGGUAUCAGCG
rnacentral:ncRNA from 1 species